AACACACGAAGAGAGAGAGAGAGAGUAUGCGAAAUAGAACAUACGGUAAAGUACCGUAGAAAAAAGACAAGAAGAUACCACGAAAAAAAGAGAAAGCAAAUA
rnacentral:ribozyme from 1 species